rnacentral:rRNA from 1 species
AACGAGCGCAACCCUCGCUGUGUGUUACAAGGUGUCACACGGAACUGCCGGUCAUAAACCGGAGGAAGGUGGGAUGACGUCAAGUCAGCAUGGCCUUUAUAUCCUGGGCUACACACACGCUACAAUGGGAAGGGACAAUAGGUUGCGAAGCCGCGAGGCGGAGCCAAUCCAGCAAAACUUCCCUCAGUUCAGAUUGCAGGCUGCAACUCGCCUGCAUGAAGUUGGAGUUGCUAGUAAACGCAGGUCAGCCAUACUGCGUUGAAUACGUUCCCGGGGCUU